GGCUCGUUGGUCUAGGGGUAUGAUUCUCGCUUUGGGUGCGAGGGGUUCCGGGUUCAAAUCCCGGACGCGCCC
rnacentral:tRNA from 1 species